rnacentral:rRNA from 1 species
UGAGGAAUCUUCCACAAUGGGGGCAACCCUGAUGGAGCAACGCCGCGUGCAGGAUGAAGGCCUUCGGGUUGUAAACUGCUUUUAUUAGUGAAGAAUAUGACGGUAACUAAUGAAUAAGGAUCGGCUAACUACGUGCCAGCAGCCGCGGUCAUACGUAGGAUCCGAGCGUUAUCCGGAGUGACUGGGCGUAAAGAGUUGCGUAGGUGGUUUGUAAAGCGAAUAGUGAAAUCUGGCGGCUCAACCGUACAGGCUAUUAUUCGAACUCACAAACUCGAGAAUGGUAGAGGUAACUGGAAUUUCUUGUGUAGGAGUGAAAUCCGUAGAUAUAAGAAGGAACACCAAUGGCGUAGGCAGGUUACUGGACCAUUUCUGACACUAAGGCACGAAAGCGUGGGGAGCG